GAUGAACGCUGGCGGCGUGCCUAAUACAUGCAAGUCGAGCGAACAGAUACGGAGCUUGCUCCUUUGACGUUAGCGGCGGACGGGUGAGUAACACGUGGGUAACCUACCUAUAAGACUGGAAUAACUCCGGGAAACCGGGGCUAAUUCCGGAUAACAUGUUGAACCGCAUGGUUCUACAGUGAAAGGCGGCUUUGCUGUCACUUAUAGAUGGACCCGGGCCGGAUUAGCUAGUUGGUGAGGUAACGGCUUACCCAGGCAGCGAUACGUAGCCGACCUGAGGGCGAGAUCGGCUACACUGGAACUGAGACACGGUCGAGACUCCUACGGUAGGACGCAGUAGGGAAUCUUACGCAAUGGAGGAAAGCCUGACGUAGCAACGCCGCGGGAGUGAUGAAGGUCUCCGGAUCGUAAAACUCUGUAAUUAGUGAAGAACAAAUGCGUAAGUAACUGGGCGGGUCUUGACGGUACCUAAUCAGAAAGCCACGGCUAACUACGUG
rnacentral:rRNA from 1 species